AUGAGCACAACGAGAGGGGGGACCAGUCCUCCAGCAGGUCGACGUGGAUCAGCAGGUAGCAAGGGGCGAACGCCAGCAGCAGGGGGCGAGGCCGAUGAUCUCGUCAGCCCGGCCCGCGCCCUGCUUGAGCACCCAAAGCGCACGCUUGGUGGGGAUGUGGGCAACAUCCUAGACCCAGAGCCAAAACGCGAAAGUCUUGGUGUGCCCUCUCUCGAGGGUGCGCGAGUCGAGCCGGUCGACGCGGUCGAUGUCGCCGAGGGCCUCUUCAGUGCCCAGCAGCGACCAAAACUGCAUGGGCAGGUCUUCCACCAUGACGCAAACAUGGUGAUGGAACUUGAGGAGCGCGGCGUGGUCGUCUUCAUUCCAGGCCCUGAUGAAGUACUUGCAACCCUCGACCUUGAUGACGCUGCGGCGCACACUGUUAUCCCGGUGUGUAGGGAGGUCAAAGUGGACGAGGAAGGCUUCCGGCUGGUGGGCGGUGACGCGGAGCAGGUGCGGAGGUGUGGAGAGCUGCUCGAGCAUGACCCUGCCCACCGCAGCAGGGGUGGUGGAGUGCGAGCGGUCCGCGGCGGUCAGGGUGACCGCUUGCUAGCGCAGCACGUGCUCCUUGAUCUCCAACACCGGGCAGGCCACGAUGACCUUGCAGCUCUCCCGCGGCCGCCUGGCUGGGUCGCAGAGGGCAAGGCUUGCCAUGGGAGCGGGGGGAGGCGGGGGCGGGAAGACAACGCGGUCGCGGACCGGAGCUCUCGCCGCGGCCGGGAAACUCAGGCGAGCACGAGCAGCCCCUCCUGGGCCACCGUUCCUUAG
rnacentral:rRNA from 1 species